rnacentral:lncRNA from 1 species
AGGGAUUUGCCUAAACUCAAUGUCUUGAGGUUUGCCUCUCAUCGCCUAGUACUCGCUUAACCAUCAUUUAUCAUUUUUCCCACAUGAUGCCAUAAUCCCAGACUAGGUCUUACACUAUGUGGUCUUCGUUUCCCAUAUGAUGCCAUAGCGAACGACUAGGCCUUACACUAUAUGGUUUUCUUACCAUGGCUAAGAUUCAUGUUUACUAUCCUGACAGACUCACACACAAACAGAAUCCGUAUGCAAA